rnacentral:rRNA from 1 species
CAGUAGCCACGGGAAUACGGAGGGUGCAAGCGUUAAUCGGAAUUACUGGGCGUAAAGCGCACGAAGGCGGUCUGUCAAGUCGGAUGUGAAAUCCCCGGGCUCAACCUGGGAACUGCAUUCGAAACUGGCAGGCUAGAGUCUUGUAGAGGGGGGUAGAAUUCCAGGUGUAGCGGUGAAAUGCGUAGAGAUCUGGAGGAAUACCGGUGGCGAAGGCGGCCACCUGGACAAAGACUGACGCUCAGGUGCGAAAGCGUGGGGAGCAAACAGGAUUAGAUACCCGUGUAGUCCCUGUCUCUUAUAC